UGUAAUGGGUGCAGGUGUGUGAGGUCACUCUGUGUGUGUGUACUGGGUGCAGGUGUGUGAGGUCAGUGCUGUGUGUGUACUGGGUGCAGGUGUGUGAGGUCACUGUGUGUGUACUGGGUGCAGGUGUGUGAGGUCACUGUGUGUGUACUGGGUGCAGGUGUGUGAGGUCACUGCUGUGUGUGUACUGGGUGCAGGUGUGUGAGGUCACUGCUGUGUGUGUACUGGGUGCAGGUGUGUGAGGUCACUGUGUGUGUGUACUGGGUGUAGGUGUGUGAGGUCACUGCUGUGUGUGUACUGGGUGCAGGUGUGUGAGGUCACUGUGUGUGUACUGGGUGCAGGUGUGUGAGGUCACUGCUGUGUGUAGCUGUGGGUGCAGGUGUGUGAGGUCACUGCUGUGUGUGUGAGCUGGGGUGCAGGUGUGACGCCAGCCGGGGGAGCCCACUGAGCAGCCCUGCGGGGGCGGGGACGGGAGCGGCGCCCGCUCUGGCCGGGGGAGCCCACGUUGCCACUGGCAUUGCUGAGGCAGCAGCCACGGUCCCCGCCGUGGCCUAGGUGAACCCGCUGGCCAGCCGAGGGGAGGGCUGGCCUCGGGCUGGUGCCGUCCCCCUGAGCUCCAUGGCUUCUGUGC